GCAGCAAAGUAUUUGGCAUAGGAAACAUUCAUCAACACCAAUCAAUUGCACUAAAUUCUUGUCAACCGUGAGUGUGAUAUGUAAUCUAUGAGUCACUAGGAAUAAAACAUGAGGAUUUAACUGCAGGGAUUUUAAGCAUGCCUGCUGAUAAAGUCAGCAAGCACAUCUGCUGGUGAGCUGCUUUGGAGAUACUCUUUUAAGUUGUGUUGUUUCAACUACUCUGAGAAAUACAGUGUAUUGCAUUCCUACAAUUCCAAAUCUUAAGUAAACUACUAGAUUAUCCCUGGAGGUGUUCAAGACCAGGUUGGAUGGGCCCUGGGAAGCCUGUUCUAGUACCAGAUCUGGAGAGGCUACGAGUUUGGCAGAGGAAGUGCUGGAAGUCUGUGUCAUGGGCCCCAUAACUCCAAAAUGGUGAUUCAGAAGAAUCACAUUCCCUUUGUUACUGCAUCACUUCAUUUUGGAGAGCAGGGAAUUAUGUGGCACAGAGACAAUUCAGAAGAGCAAGAGCUGUUGUGUCUGGCAUUCUUGUCUUCCAGUAUUUCACCAGAUGACUCCCAUUAAAGAAGGAAGAAAGACAUUCAAGAAAUGGACCCUCUCCUGCCAGAGCCACUGCUCCCUCCAGAGCUCAGCCCUCUACUGUGAUGAAUUACUACUUAAUCCAAGUAAUUUAUUUUCCAGAUUAAUAUUGAACUUGAAUUUAUUGUGAAAUAAAUAAAUAAAUGCAUUAUAGGCUAGAUUUUUU
rnacentral:lncRNA from 1 species